GUAGUUUUACCCGUGUUAAACGUCAAGGCAAUAGUUGCAUGAGAAAAAUACUGGUCACCAACCAUGCAAUUUGGGAACCUAAUCUACCGAAGAAAGUGUGAUGUAGAAGAGAAAACCUUGUUUCAGGUCACUGUCUAGCUAGCUACACCUACACCUACCUACCAAAAUUUAAAGAAUCAUGCAUGAGGCAUCUUCUUUGGUUGAUGGAACAGCUGUGACUUAAUUCUUUGGUUAGUUGGUAUGACCGAAUUAGACAAGCAAGACUUUACCAUCUAGAAAGAGAAGGCCUUCUUUUUAUUCACUUUUCUAUCUUUAGAUCUACCUAGGUGUUUGCUUCUGAUUC
rnacentral:lncRNA from 1 species